rnacentral:rRNA from 1 species
GUGAGGAAUUUUGCGCAAUGGGGGAAACCCUGACGCAGCAACGCCGCGUGGGUGAUGAAGGCCUUUGGGUCGUAAAGCCCUGUCAAGUGGGAAGAACCCGCAUGGUGCGAAUAAUGCCAUGCGCUGACGGUACCACUGAAGGAAGCACCGGCUAACUCCGUGCCAGCAGCCGCGGUAAUACGGGGGGUGCAAGCGUUAUUCGGAAUUAUUGGGCGUAAAGGGCGCGUAGGCGGCUGCCUAAGUCAGGCGUGAAAGCCCGGGGCUUAACCCCGGAAGUGCGUUUGAAACUGGGUGGCUUGAGUAUGGGAGAGGGAAGCGGAAUUCCUGGUGUAGAGGUGAAAUUCGUAGAUAUCAGGAGGAACACCUGUGGCGAAGGCGGCUUCCUGGACCAAUACUGACGCUGAGGCGCGAAGGCGUGGGGAGCAAACAGGAUUAGAAACCCUAGUAGUCC